ensembl:lncRNA
CGAGACCAAUCGGGUGCGGGCGGCCGCGCGUGGACAGCGCCCCGAUUGGUCGGGUGGCCGCAGCUCCCCGGCGAGCGGGCCAAUGGCGCGGCACGGCUACCACGUGCACAGCCCGUGGAUAAACAGGAUCUAAAAAACGCAGAGCUGGGUUACAGAAGAUGCCAACUGUAAAACAACUGCACCAGGAAGUUAAUUUACAAAGAGCAAAGAUUUAGCUCAAAUGUUGAUGGAGCAACUAACUUGAGGUGGCUGAAGUUAGACAAUGUGGAUCCUCUUAGCAUCUUUGGAGAGAAAGGAGCAUUUUCAGACACGUCUCAGACACUGCCAUGGAUUUAGAGCAGGCUAAUCAAAGGUUUGCAUUAACUGCAAUGCAAGAGGAAGUGGCAAUAUACAACCUGAGGCCCAUUCUGUGGAAUCAGAAGACGGUGAAAGACUUCAGGAGCAGCGUGCCUUGAAUUUGAAUUAGCCAGACUGAAUUUAAAAUCAACAAGCUGAAAGAGCCUGAGAUAAGAAGUCAGAACAUUCAGAGGAAAUGAGAACUGUUCCGGGAACUAAAGGUGAGAGAAACACUAAGUCACAUUAAAAAUAUUCAGCAAGUAAAAGGCACACCUUUUCUUUUUCUGGACACCUUUUCUUAGAAGUCGUCUAUAAUCAGU